GCUGGAAUCUCAAGUAUCUCGAAGUCUUCCGCCUGUCUUUGCUUUUCUACCCCACCAAUCCUCCAGAGCACAGCACAUCUACGAACACCAUGCAGCCGAGAAAACUGAAACGAAGAGAAGAAGCUGUGAUGCAGGAACAUCUAGUGUAAAACUGAGAGAAUCUUAUUGGGAUGCAGCCUGAAACUCUGUGGACACUUCUGCAGAGAGAGGCAGCAGGCCUGAAUGCCCUUAUGCUGUGGCAACAAGGCUCGGAAUCUUGGUAUAUGAACACCUCCCACAAUGGGUGCCAUGGAUACAAGCACUGCUCUUGCUCACAUCUCGGAUGACAGUUACCCACGACAUUUCAAGCGCUGUGUUUUUCUGACUCGUUUUGAUUGUAUCGUUUACUUUAAUCUUCAUAAUCCUUUACGAAGAAAGGUGGGUUUUUCUCUCCCUAUAUUAAAAUUGAGGGAAUCACAUGUCGAGUGAGGGUAAAUCGUUUCCUGAGGGGCCCUGGCAUUAAGGAACAGAAGUGUGUGAUGUGAACCCAGUACUCUCUCUCUAUAAAACCUGUGCUCUUAGCCUUUACAUGUAAUUCACUGCGUUUUGAAAUAUAUUUUUAUACUUGAUACUGAUCACAAUAUUCAGACAUGAAGGUAUAGUCAAGAUGACGUUAUGGUAGUUUAAUGAAAAAGCCAAUGCAUUUACCCAGUGUAUACGUGACGAAAAACUAUCUAUACUUUACUUUUCCAUAACUCCCAUCUUAAAUAUGAAUGCUGAGGAGAGUAUUUUAGCUCAGAUGUCAGAUGCAGUCAGUAGGAACAGCAGUUGUACUAACUGCAUUUGUACACCCUUAAACACUAAGAAGGAGGCCAGCAAAACCGUUUUAUGCUCACCAGCAUGGGGCGCUUUUGAAAAAAUUUGAAUGGUUCCGCCAAUUAACCUUUUUUUAAUCCAGGUGCAUUUUUUACACAGUUAUGUUUUAUUGAGCAAGGAAAAUCUACCUUUGUCGAAAAAGAAGAGAUUAUUUUGGUGUCCAAUAUUCACCUGACAAAAGUCAUUGUUUACAGUUCUGCUUUCGGCAUUAAUAAAAGAAUAAUUUCUAUGGGCGUUUCAUGUGUUGGGAUCUCUUCUGACUCCAGGAUUUCAUAGAAUGAGAAAUGGAUUGUUAGGGAAAUGUGAAGCUUGUAUUCAAAGUUUAAUUCACUGAUCAGUCAAAACAAUUGUGGGUGAGGAAAUGAAAGAAUAUUUUCAUCAAUAAACUGUUCCUUAAAAUAGGAAAUACAAUUUAUAUCAUUUGAUUCCCAUGCUUCCCUGUCAUUCAGAAAUUAUGCAUAAAAAGGAGUUGAUUGUCUUCCUCUAAUUUUGUAAGGCUUGCGGAGUACAUGGUUCCCGAAAAUAAUCUUUCUAAGA